rnacentral:rRNA from 1 species
GACGAACGCUGGCGGCGUGCUUAACACAUGCAAGUCGAACGGAAAGGCCCUGCUUUUGUUGGGUGCUCGAGUGGCGAACGGGUGAGUAACACGUGAGUAACCUGCCCUUGACUUUGGGGCAACUUCAGGAAACUGGGGCUAAUACCGGAUAGGAGCUCCUGCUGCAUGGUGGGGGUUGGAAAGCUUCGGCGGUUGGGGAUGGACUCGCGGCUAAUCAGCUUGUGGGUGGGGGAGUGGCUUACCCAGGCUUUGACGGGUAGCCGGCCUGGGAGGGUGACCGGGCACAUGGGGCCUGAGGGACGGCGCAGUCUCGUACGGGAGGCAGCAGUGGGGAAUAUUGCACAAUGGGCGGAAGCCUGAUGCGGCAGCGCCGCGUGCGGGAUGAAGGCCUUCGGGUUGUAAACCGCUUUCGCCUGUGACGAAGCGUGAGUGACGGUAAUGGGUAAAGAAGCACCGGCUAACUACGUG